GGUGGACGGUGACGACCACUAUCGGGCCUGACAAGAGCUUAUGCAGGCAUGAGUAGCGAUAAACCGAGUGAGAAACUCGGUCGCCGUAAGCCCAAGGUUUCCUGGGGAAGGAUAAUCCUCCCAUGGGUUAGUCGGAUCCUAAGCCGAGGCCGAGAGGCGUAGGUGAUGGGAAGCAGGUUAAUAUUCCUGCACCGCCUUGGACAGUUUCCAUAGGGGGGACGGAGAAACGUAGCCGAGCCGGGUAAUGGAUACCGGUUCAAACCUGUAGGGAGUCACGCUAGGAGGCCUAGUGCCACAAACGGCGUGACAAUCCUGAGAGGUGAUGAGGAGGACGCUUGCGUCCAUAAACUCGGUGAUCGUCCGCUUCCAAGAAAAGCCUCGAUGGAGUUAACUGCUAGGGCGACCGUACCGCAAACCGACUCAGGUGGGCGGGGUGAGAAUCCCAAGGCGCGUGAGAGAACCCAGGCUAAGGAACUCGGCAAAAUGACACCGUAACUUCGGGAGAAGGUGUGCCGAAGGGCGUGAAGGGGCUAGCCCCCGGAG
rnacentral:rRNA from 1 species